CGGGUAGCGGAACACGUACGCAACCUUCCUUUAAGUGGGGAAUAGCCCGGGGAAACCCGGAUUAAUACCCCGUAAUAUUAUGAUGUGGCAUCACUUUAUAAUUAUAGAUUCAUCGCUUAAAGAUGGGCGUGCGCCUGAUUAGGUAGUUGGCGGAGUAAUAGCCCACCAAGCCUGCGAUCAGUAACUGGUGUGAGAGCACGACCAGUCACACGGGCACUGAGACACGGGCCCG
rnacentral:rRNA from 1 species